rnacentral:tRNA from 1 species
AGNGGUACGGACUUAAAAUCCGUUGGCUUUAUUGACCGUGAGGGUUCAAGUCCCUCUACCCCCA